CUGGCCCAAGUUGAUAACGCACAUACGUCUAGUAUAUCCUUUGUAUUCAUGACGUGCUCCACGAGUUUUGAACCGGCGGUGCGUUUGAAAAAUAAGAGCGGAGAUGUGAGCUGAGUUUCAUCGCAUCACAAAUGUCAACCUGCAAAAACAGUUUUAUUUUGACCUGGACAGACAGACGCAGAGGAUGCUGAUCUUUUUGAGACAGAAGGCAGCACGAACCGGAAGGCUCUAUGCGACAUUCUGCACCUCUAUGAUAAACAGGUGAGGUGUAACUGCAUGGCAUGAUCAACAUUAUGCAUUAGUAUAGCUAAAAGAAGGGGCUGACUUGGAUCGGUUUAUA